GAUGAACGCUAGCUACAGGCUUAACACAUGCAAGUCGAGGGGAAACGAUAUUGGAAGCUUGCUUCCGAUAGGCGUCGACCGGCGAACGGGUGAGUAACGCGUAUCCAACCUGCCCAUCACUUGGGGAUAACCUUGCGAAAGUAAGACUAAUACCCAAUGAUAUCCCACGAAGGCAUCCGAAUGGGAUUAAAGAUUUAUCGGUGAUGGAUGGGGAUGCGUCUGAUUAGUUUGUUGGCGGGGCAACGGCCCACCAAGGCAACGAUCAGUAGGGGUUCUGAGAGGAAGGUCCCCCACAUUGGAACUGAGACACGGUCCAAACUCCUACGGGAGGCAGCAGUGAGGAAUAUUGGUCAAUGGGCGAGAGCCUGAACCAGCCAAGUAGCGUGCAGGACGACGGCCCUAUGGGUUGUAAACUGCUUUUAUAAGGGAAUAAAGUGAGUCUCGUGAGACUUUUUGCAUGUACCUUAUGAAUAAGGACCGGCUAAUUCCGUG
rnacentral:rRNA from 1 species